rnacentral:rRNA from 1 species
GUCCACGCCGUAAACGAUGAAUGCCAGACGUCGGGCAGCAUGCUGUUCGGUGUCACACCUAACGGAUUAAGCAUUCCGCCUGGGGAGUACGGCCGCAAGGUUAAAACUCAAAGGAAUUGACGGGGGCCCCGCACAAGCGGUGGAGCAUGUGGUUUAAUUCGAAGCAACGCGCAGAACCUUACCAACCCUUGACAUGGGCAUCGCGGGGCCAGAGAUGGUCCUUUCAGUUCGGCUGGAUGCCACACAGGUGCUGCAUGGCUGUCGU